UGAGCGCAUGUCACAGAGAUGUACGGAAGCGAACAUUUGUAGUUAAAAAGUAUAUAAGUAUUGUUUUUUUUUGUUUUUUUUUUUUUUUUUUCUAAAGAUAAUCAAUCGUUUGCAUUCAGAAGAACUUUAUUUGUCGACUGGAGUUGUGUGGAUUCUUUUGAUGCACCCUAAAUAUGCAUUUUGGACCUUCAAAAAUGCAUUUUUUAGAGGAGGAGGCCUGAAAUGAAAUCCUAAAAGUCUUACAUUCUGUUUUGAUGAAGAAAGAAACUCAGAUACAUCUUGGAUGGCCUGAGCCACAGUUAACACACACAAAUUGAGCGCCCUGCGGAGCAGCAUCCACGUCUCUCUGACCUGCCUUCAUUGGUGACAGCCAGAUUGCAAUGCAACAGCUUCCAGUCGCCAACCUCCUGGAUAACACAGUGCUGAAGAAGACCAUCUUGCAACGGGUCGGCCGUAGCCCGGAAGAACAUCGCCAGCAUUUACACUCCUUAAUGCUGAGUGAAUUCGGCUACCCAUUUGUCUUCGCUCAGCAGCUCCACAAUGCCUGCCGCCAGUGGGUGCUGGCCAAGGAGGACAACGACACCGAUGAUGUUGUCAACUAGGUGGUGCUGUUGACUGGAUGAAGCGGUCCAGCUGGCGGAGGACCAUCUUGCAGCAUAUCCAAGCUCAGUUGCGCCGCUGCCUUUCAUUCCACUAAUGUCACCUCCCCUGUUCUCUCUCCCCCACUCCUUCCUUCCGUCAUAUUCCAUUUCCCUGGAAACUGGGAAACAUUCCCCCAAGAUCACCCUCUCAGGCUUAGGGGUCUACUGCUCCACCUAACCCUAUCUCUCUCCACUCUUCAUCCCAGGUGCGUGGGCAGGAGGCUUGGGCCAGUCUGCUGGAGUUGCAGAGAGCCGGGUCAUGGCCGUGAGCAGUGCCCGGUAAUGGAGGUGGGGGCCUUGAUCUGGGUCCAAUCGAGCAGGGACGUACCAAAUACCCUUGAGUAUUGAGGGGGAUACAUACCAAGCCUUGGUGGAUUCCUGUUGUUAUCAAACCUCCAUCCAUCAGUGCUUGGUUCAAAACAGGGCAUUGGAUUCAAAUAAUUGGGUAAAGGUGGGGAUAUUCAUAAUUAUCCUGUAGUGACCGUCGGCGUAAUAUGCAGGAGACAAAAGCAUAAUAUUGAGGUGGUGGUUAGUCCUCGCCUCACCCAUCCACUAAUUUUGGGAACCAAUUGGCCAGAUUUUCGCUCAUUAAUGAAGGGGUUGUGAGUGGAUGGGUCCUGUGAGAAAGUGAAUCGAUGUGAGAUGGGGCUGGGUAGGCAUGGUCUGGGCCGUUGCAUCAGACUGAUGCUGGGGAAGGGGAGGUGUCAUCCUCCCCCACCCUAAGGGAUUUCCCGGUAGGAGAUUUUCGCGCUAGAGCAGUUGCGACACUCCUUUGACCAAUUUAUUGUGUUUGAUGAUCAACAGCUCCAACUGGGCAUCACACUCCAUAUCCAUACUUUUCAAUUAUAAAAGAUUUGUUAUAUAGAGUGACACAGGACACUCGCACACAAGAAAUUACAACCCAGUUGUUGAUACCAAAGAGCCGUCGGGAAAUGUUAUUUCAGGCGGCUCAUCAUAAUCCGAUGGCAGAUCACUUGGGACAGGGGAAAACAAUAAGCUGUCUCAUGACCCGUUUUUAUUGGCCGAGCAUUCACGGAGAUGUUCGCAGGUGGUGUGCGGCAUGCCAUGGAUGUCAGCUGGUGAAUCCACCGGCUACUCCAAAAGUGCCAUUGCGCCCUCUUCCAUUAAUUAAGUUUCCUAUUGAGCGAAUUGGCAUGGACAUUGUCAGGCCAUUAGAAUAGACCGCACAUGGACAUCGCUUUGUGUUAGUCCUAGUGGAUUACGCAACGCGAUAUACGGAAGCAGUGCCACUGCGCAAAAUCUCAACACGUAGUGUUGCAGAGGCACUCUUCAAAAUUAUCUCAGAAAGAAAUCCUCACUGAUCAGGGCAUGGCUUUUAUGUCACUUACACUAUGCGAUCUGUAUGAAUUAUACAGCGUAGACAAGUGUGUACCAUCCCCAAAUGGACGGCUUGUUCGAAAGAUUUAAUAAAACCUUAAAGAAUAUGAUUUGUAUAUUUGUGCACGAAGAUGUUCAGAACUGGUAUAAGUGUCUCGAACCUCUGUUAUUUGCAUUGCAAGAGGUCCCGCAAGCCAAUGGCUCCACCGCAUGAAGGAUGUCAAUGCCCGGAUCACCCGUUGGUAUCUGGCACUCCAGCCAUUUAAGUUCAAGGUGGUCCACAGGCUGGGCUGUUCCCCCGACCUGAGUCGGGCGGUGGGGGUAUGUGGGGGCGAGGGCAUGGCCGAGCGUUCGUCUGGGGAGAGAGGAAGUGGUAAGGGUUUUCACCUGAGAUGAAUUGCUGCUAAUUGUGAUUUCUAUGUUCACAGUGAGAGGCGGGGAGAUAAAAGGCUGCCCAAAACUCCAGAGAGGGAGAGAGAACCAAGCCUGCAUGUGUGUGUGUGUGUCCGUGCAGCCCGCAGUGUCGAGUGUGACAUUUUCGUUAAUUGUGAAAAUAAAAUACCUUUUUGAGUUGGAUCCGUCACCUCCUGCUUCCUCCUUUCCCUCCUCCAGGAACGAACCUUAUUAUAGUCACCCUUACAGGGAAGACACCUGCUGAAGUGCUCCACAGAUUUCUCUAUUAAACACAUUUCAGUUUGUUUUUU